AGAUGUAUUCUGUGAACCGCAUUAAGAUUUUUUCACAAAAAUAGAAAAAAAAAACGAUAUAUUUUGGGGGUCCCCCAUAUUUAGAACUGAAGCUCAAAAACUUUUUUUUCAUCACACCCAUUCGUGUGGGGUAUCUAUGGAUAGGUCUUCAAAAAUGAUAUUGAGGUUAAUAAUAUCAUUUUUUUCUAAACUGAAUAGUUUGCGCGAGAGACACUUCCAAAGUGGUAAAAUGUGUGUGUGUAUCUAGCAAGUAGUUUUUUUUUAAUACGUCAUAAA